rnacentral:rRNA from 1 species
UACGAAGGGGACUAGCGUUGUUCGGAAUCACUGGGCGUAAAGCGCACGUAGGCGGAUUUGUAAGUCAGGGGUGAAAUCCCGGGGCUCAACCUCGGAACUGCCUUUGAUACUGCGAAUCUUGAGUCCGAUAGAGGUGGGUGGAAUUCCUAGUGUAGAGGUGAAAUUCGUAGAUAUUAGGAAGAACACCAGUGGCGAAGGCGGCCCACUGGAUCGGUA